rnacentral:rRNA from 1 species
CGUGAGAUGUUUGGGUUAAGUCCCGCAACGAGCGCAACCCUUAUUGUCAGUUGCCAUCAUUAAGUUGGGCACUCUGGCGAGACUGCCGGUGACAAACCGGAGGAAGGUGGGGAUGACGUCAAAUCAUCAUGCCCCUUAUGACCUGGGCUACACACGUGCUACAAUGGACGGUACAACGAGUCGCUAACUCGCGAGGGCAAGCUAAUCUCUUAAAGCCGUUCUCAGUUCGGAUUCAGGCUGCAACUCGCCUGCAUGAACGU